AACCAUAGAAACCUGCGGAGUACCUGCGGAGGGAUCAUUACAGAGUUGCAAAACUCCCUAAACCAUUGUGAACGUUACCUAAACCGUUGCUUCGGCGGGCGGCCCGGGUCCUUCCCGGCGCCCAUCGGCCCUCGCGGGCGCCCGCCGGAGGUAAACCAAACUAUUGCAUUGUAUGGCCUCUCUGAGUCUUCUGUACUGAAUAAGUCAAAACUUUCAGCAACGGAUCUCAGAUCGGAAGAG
rnacentral:misc_RNA from 1 species